UACCAGCUCUCCGAGUGGUAGGGAUGAUUAUUGGGCUUAAAGCGUCCGUAGCCGGCUUAGCAAGUUUCCUGUUAAAUUCAGCGACCUAAUCGUUGAGCCGCGGGAAAUACUACUAGGCUAGGAGGCGGGAGAGGUCGACGGUACUUCUGGGGUAGGGGUGAAAUCCUAUAAUCCCGGGAGGACCACCAGUGGCGAAGGCUGUCGACUAGAACGCGCCCGACGGUGAGGGACGAAAGCUGGGGGAGCGAACCGGAUUAGAUACCCGGGUAGUCCCAGCUGUAAACGAUGCGGGCUAGGUGUUGGGGGUGGCUACGUGCCACUUCAGUGCCGCAGGGAAGCCAUUAAGCCCGCCGCCUGGGGAGUACGGCCGCAAGGCUGAAACUUAAGGAUUGGCGGGGAGCACCACAAGGCGUGAAGCUUGCGGUUC
rnacentral:rRNA from 1 species